rnacentral:rRNA from 1 species
UACGUAGGGGGCUAGCGUUGUCCGGAUUUAUUGGGCGUAAAGAGCGUGUAGGCGGCCAUGUAGGUCCGGUGUGAAAACUCGAGGCUUAACCUCGAGAUGUCAUCGGAAACCAUUUGGCUAGAGUCCGGAAGAGGAGAGUGGAAUUCCCGGUGUAGUGGUGAAAUGCGUAGAUAUCGGGAGGAACACCGGUGGCGAAGGCGGCAUCCUGGACCAACACUGACGCUGAGGCGCGAAAGCUAGGGGAGCAAACGGG